GAGAGGCUUCCUCGAUAACAGGGUUCAUGUAGAUACUGUAACCCAUUUAUUGUGAUUUAAAAAACAAUUUAGAGUGAAGGAUAUUGAUUAGUUUCUUCCUUCCUUUUUUUUAAUACCGGCACAUGACAGCACAGUUAUAAUGCAUACUUAAUGCUGCAAAAUUCACGUCAUAAACAGUUGUGAGUGUUUGCACAAAAACAUCUACAGGUGCUCUGUGCAUGUACAGUGAUAUUGAUAUAACGCUUGAAGAAUUUGACAUUACUACAUCAGUGGAAGAGCUCUUUGCGCAAGACUCACUAACCACCCUAUUAGAAAAUGAGCUAAAAGAGUGCCUCAGAUUCGUUUCAAUAUUUAAACUGUCAUUUGUGUGUUGAAGUGCAAA
rnacentral:misc_RNA from 1 species